GCGGACAUAGCUCAGUUGGUAGAGCACGACCUUGCCAAGGUCGGGGUCGCGAGUUCGAGUCUCGUUGUCCGCU
rfam:Aneurinibacillus migulanus strain DSM 2895 super17, whole genome shotgun sequence.